rnacentral:lncRNA from 1 species
GAGAAAACCAAUUUCACGUGGCAGUGUCCAGUCUGGUUUCCAAGCAGAAGUUAAAACCUGCGUGCGAGCAGCUGGGCAUGUGCUGGAUGGAGCAGUUCAUCCAGACCCACAGCAAGCACCGGCAGUCCUGGCAAUAUGUAUAAAGCAGCAGUGCAUUCUCUCCAGUGACAGACAGUGCAAACCCUUGGUGAUCACAGGUGCAUCACAGCGAGGAUCGGCCCCGAGGUUUGAAUGUCAGAUGCCGUUCGCUGAAGAGUUACAGCAGCAUCGUGCUGCUACCGCCAUCCAGAGCUAACCACAGUACACACCGUGCAAGAAGUGCUACGUUCCCAGCUCCUCCGCUGCCUCAAACCCCAAGCCCCUGCGCCGCCGAACACGCGGGCCGACGGUCCCGCAGCGGAGUCCGGCGGCACCACCCGCCGGGGGUGGGAGGAGCGCCCAGCGCCGCUCCCGCAGCGCCCCCUGCCGGCCGUACCGCGCUGCGGCAGCGGGAAGCGGAGUUGGGCAGGCCUGCCCCGUGGCUCUCCGAGGGGCCGGGGUAGGCGGCUUGCUCAGCGCAGUCAUCGUCUCCGCUAAAAUAUUCGCGUCCUGCCAAAUACAGGAGUUAUAUUAAACCAGACUUUCAGACGGCUCAGGAAUGCCGCUCCAUAAACGCUUUGUUCUCCUGCGGCGGGGGAAAACCAUUUCCACCUUCUGCAGACAGAGCCCUGCAAAGAAAAGAAAUACACCAAGGGCUGGCUUCAAGGAAAUGCCUCCAGCUGCCGUUGUCUUUAUUAAAAGAAGCGAAGAAAGGAAAAGAAAAAGAAAAAGAAAAAGAAAAAGAAAAGAAAAGAAAAGAAAAGAAAAGAAAAGAAAAGAAAAGAAAAGAAAAGAAAAGAAAAGCCCUUCCAGUUCCUGGGAGAACUUUCAGCUUUUUAAACCACACACCCACUUGGCUCCCCAAAGAACUGUAUCCCAAUUGCAAGCAAUGCCUGCAGCUGAACCAGCCUCACUGCUUCUCCCCAGCUGGAGUGCAUAA